rnacentral:rRNA from 1 species
GACGAACGCUGGCGGCGUGCUUAACACAUGCAAGUCGAACGGAAAGGCCCUGCUUUUGUGGGGUGCUCGAGUGGCGAACGGGUGAGUAACACGUGAGUAACCUGCCCUUGACUUUGGGAUAACUUCAGGAAACUGGGGCUAAUACCGGAUAGGAGCUCCUGCUGCAUGGUGGGGGUUGGAAAGUUUCGGCGGUUGGGGAUGGACCCGCGGCUUAUCAGCUUGUUGGUGGGGUAGUGGCUUACCAAGGCUUUGACGGGUAGCCGGCCUGAGAGGGUGGCCGGCCACAUUGGGACUGAGAUACGGCCCAGACUCCUACGGGAGGCAGCAGUGGGGAAUAUUGCACAAUGGGCGGAAGCCUGAUGCAGCAACGCCGCGUGCGGGAUGACGGCCUUCGGGUUGUAAACCGCUUUCGCCUGUGACGAAGCGUGAGUGACGGUAAUGGGUAAAGAAGCACCGGCUAACUACGUG